UUUGAAAACGAUGGCAUGGGUACCAGCCGAAUCCGCAGUGGAAGAGUUGAUGCCUCGGCUAUUACUGGAUCGAAGCAGCUCAAUGUCCAGAUGUUGUGGUAGCUCAAAUUGACCCAAAGAAGUUGAAAAGGAAGCAAAGUGUGAAUAUUUCUCUUUCAGGAUGCCAACCCGCCCCUGAAGGUUAUUCACCAACACUUCACUGGCAACAGCAACCAGUGGCACGGUUUUCAACUGUUCGACAGAAUGUGAACAAACAUAGAAGUCACUGGAAAACACAACAGUUUGACAGUAAUGUGACCAGGCCAAAAUCUGAAGAUGAAGAAGCCUGGAAGAAAUUUUGUCUGGGUGAAAAGUUAUGUGCUGAUGGUGCUGUUGGACCAGCCACAAAUGAAAGUCCUGGAAUAGAUUAUGUACAAAUUGGUUUUCCUCCCUUGCUUAGUAUUGUUAGCAGAAUGAAUCAGGCAACAAUAACUAGUGUCUUGGAAUAUCUGAGUAAUUGGUUUGGAAAAGAGACUUUACUCCGAAAUUGGGAAGAUGACUUUAUGCUUUAUUGGCUUGUCUUGAAAAGCCUUUAUUAUCUGAGGCUCAUUCACUGAUUCGGCAGCUUGCAAGAAGGUGCUCUGAAGUGAGGCUCUUAGUGGAUAGCAAAGAUGAUGAGAGGGUUCCUGCUCUGAAUUUAUUAAUCUGCUUGGUUAGCAGGUAUUUUGACCAGCAUGAUUUAGGUGAUGAGCCAUCUUGAUGUAGCUGAUCUCUCAGGGAUAGAAGAUAUUUCUCAUGAAGGCAGCCUCACUCUGAGGAAAGCAAUGCCAAUUCAAGUACAGAUUGCAACAUAUCUUCAACACUGUGUGAAGGGCUCACAUCUUU